UUAAGCUAAUAAGAGCGCAGGGAGGAUGCCUUGGCAUCAGGAGCCGAUGAAGGACGUGGUAAGCUGCGAAAAGCUGCGGGGACCGGCAAGCACGGAUUGAGCCGCAGAUGUCCGAAUGGAGAAAUCCAUACGGGGUAACGCCCGUAUAUUGUAUGGUGAAUAAAAUAGCCAUACAAGGGGAACCGCCCGAACUGAAACAUCUAAGUAGGGCGAGGAAAAGAAAUCAACUGAGAUUCCGCGAGUAGUGGCGAGCGAAAGCGGAGGAGGCUAAACCGGAGGUAGAAAUACUUCCGGGGUUAUGGACCGCAUUUAGUACCGAAACGACUAACCGAAUGGCGUGGGAAAGCCAUCCGAAGAAGGUGAGAGACCUGUAGGUGAAAGUUGGAGCGGACGAGCGGUAUCCGAAGUACCGCGGGGCACGAGAAAUCCCGUGGGAAGUUGGGGGGACCAUCCUCCAAGCCUAAAUACUACCUGAUGACCGAUAGCGAAUAGUACUGUGAAGGAAAGGUGAAAAGCACCCCGGGAGGGGAGUGAAAAAGAACCUGAAACCCUGUGCUUACAAGCACUUAGAGCACGUCAAAGUGUGAUAAGGUACCUAUUGUAGAAUGGUCCGGCGAGUUAUUGUGGAGAGCGAGGUUAAGUUCUUAAGGAACGGAGCCGAAGUGAGAGCGAGUGUUAACAGCACGACAAAGUUCUUUGCAAUAGACCCGAAACUGGGUGACCUAUCCAUGUCCAGGAUGAAGUGAGGGUAAAACCUCGUGGAGGUCCGAACCGACCCCUGUUGAAAUAGUGGCGGAUGAGGUGUGGAUAGCGGAGAAAUUCUAAUCGAACCCAGAUAUAGCUGGUUCUCCCCGAAAUAGCUUUAGGGCUAGCGUGUUGUUAGAUUAUCGGAGGUAAAGCACUGAAUAAGCUAGGGGCCGAAAGGUUACCGAACUUUAUCAAACUCUGAAUGCCGAAUAAUCGGUGCAAUGCAGUCAGACCGCGUGAGAUAAGUUUCGCGGUCGAAAGGGAAACAGCCCAGAUCUACAGCUAAGGUCCCUAAAUUACGUUAAGUGGGAAACGAUGUGGAAUCGCAUAGACAACCAGGAUGUUGGCUUAGAAGCAGCCACACAUUCAAAGAGUGCGUAAUAGCUCACUGGUCGAGUGGUUCUGCGCGGAAAAUUUAACGGGGCUAAACGUAAUACCGAAGCUUAGAGCGUGAACAGUUAAUAAUGAAUAAUGAAGAAUAAUCAAACCAUAUCACAAUAAUUUACAGAAAAUUCAUGGAAAGUUUACAGAAACUUUACAAGUAGCUUGCGAAAUUCCUCUGUACUCGGGAGUGUAACCCCGGAAUACAGCAGCAAUCCCGCUGUUUCUUCGCACUCGGUGCUUAGAAACAAUCACGACAGCAAUGAUAAAAGCAACUCUUCACCCGAUGGGCUGAAGAAACAAGUCGCGAUAAAUAUCUCUCUCCCCCCGGUGGGGGAGAGAAAUAAAGUUAGCGGUGAAGUUUACAGAAAAUUCAUGGAAAGUUUACAGAAAGUUUACAAGUAGCUUGCGAAAUUCCUCUGUACUCGGGAGUGUAAACCCGGAAUACAGCAGCAAUCCCGCUGUUUCUUUGCACUCGGUGCUUGGAAACAAUCACGACAGCAAUGAUAAAAGCAACUCUUCCCCCACCCGGGGGAGAGAAACAAAAAUAUCACGAUGGCGGUUCACGAGAGUGAAUAAUCAAGUGAUAACGGGAAAAGUUUACAGAAAAUUCAUGGAAAGUUUACAAGUAAACCUGCGAAGUCCCGGCAAUCAAACGUAACUUCUCCCACCGGACGAGGUUACAAAUCACGACAGCAAUCAUGAUAAAAGCAUUUCUCUCCCCCACCCGGGGGAGAGAAACUAAAUCAAAACGAGCGGGAAAGUUUACAGAAAAUUAAUGGAAAGUUUACAGAAAGUUUACAAAGUUAACAUCUGUUAUAGCAAAAUGUGAUAGCGAAAAGUUUGAUUAAUAGUCCGAUGAAACCGGCAUUAAUGCUGGAUAAACCGGCAUUAAUGCUGGGUAAACCGGCAUUAAUGCUGGGUAAACCGGCAGUUAUGCUGAAUAAAUCGGUUUAAAACCCGAUGAAAUCGGCAGUUGCGCUGACGAAAUCGGUACAAUGAAAGAUUGUUUAUUAUUAACUGCUCACGGGGUAGGGGAGCGUCGUAUUCGGGGUGAAGCGGUAGCGCAAGCGGCCGUGGACUGAAUACGAGUGAGAAUGCCGGAAUGAGUAGCGAGAAUUAUGUGAGAAUCAUAAUGGUCGAAAGCCUAAGGUUUUUGGAGGAAGGUUCGUCCGCUCCAAGUAAGUCGGAAGCUAAGGUGAGGCGGGAACGCGUAGCCGAUGCACAAACUGUUGAAAUUCAGUUACCGUCGAAAGAUUUAAGCAAGAGGACACACGUGAAGGGAAUGAGCCGGGCGAUGGUUGACCCGGUGCUGAGAAGCGGAGCGAAAACAAGUAGCGAAGCAUUUUUGGAACGUGGCGAGAAAAGCCUU
rnacentral:rRNA from 1 species